CGUCGUUAUUGUCAUAAUGAAAAUAUAGCUUGAAAAGCGUUGAAAAAUAAUUCUGUUAACUAUUCCAAAGGUUUUCAGUUUAUAUUUAAUUUAACGAAAUAUAUAUCAUAAUUACAUAAAUAUUUUCUUGCUAAAUUUUAUCGCAGCUAACAACAGUGUAUCCACGCUAUCCCCAGUUAAUAUAUUGUUAAGGACACAAAAUGGUGGUUUUAAAAAUUUGUCAUGUCUUUCGUAUUGUGUAUUUUGUUUAAAUUGUUUAUAUUCUACUAAAUUAUAUUAACUUAUAUUUAAUCAUUUAUGAACAAAAGGUGUCAACUGUAUAUAUUUUUUUAAUAUUUAAAAUUAGUACGAAAGAUUGCGUUGCUUUAAAAUUUGAUUAACAUAUUUUACAAAUGUCUUAUCCUGGACGUCCUCCGAUAAUGCAAGGCUUAUCAAUGUAUGCCAUGCCUAUUAGUGGCCCUCCGCCACCUCUUAUGCCCUCUGUAAUGCCAAUUCAACACCAAAUGGUGCCUAUACAAGUUUCUGGAGCAACACAAAUAAGAGGUUUCCCAAAACUAAAUCCUAAUAGAAAUGAACAGAAAAAAUUGGAGGGUCCAGCUGUUACAGUAUUUGUUGGAAACAUUACGGAAAAGGCUCCAGAUGCUAUGAUUAGGCAAAUAUUAGCCGCUUGUGGUCAAGUCAUAAGUUGGAAAAAAGUUAAAGCUUUCGGUUUCUGUGAACUUGCAGGACCUGAUGCGGGUCUACGAGCAGUCAGAUUAUUACAUGAUUUAAUGGUUGGUGACAAACGAUUAGUUGCAAAAGUAGAUGCAAAAACACAAGCCGUUUUAGAUGAAUAUAAAGCUGAGAGACGGAAAAGACAAAGGUCAUCUCCAUUGCAAGACGAACCUGAAGAAGAAGAGUUGGAUGAAGAAACUCAACAACUCGAUGUUUUGGUUAGGGAGAGGAUAAAACAAAUUUUGGCGGAUUAUCAGGAUGAGAUGAAUAGUUUCGAAUACAAAAAAGAAGGAGAGAUUAUGCAUACCUGGAAUAAAGUUCUUGCUGAUGCUGAAGUUGAAGAGGAAAAGCGUGAUUUAAUAACAAGAGAAAUUGGGAAAUUUAGGGAAAUUAUGAAAAAACAGGAAGAAGAAAAAGAAGUAAGAAAAAAGAAGGAAGAAAGGGAAAAGACUCGCGAGAAGGACCGCUCUAAUUCUCAUUCACCCAGUCCAAAGCGUAAAGAAAAAGAUGAUAAAAGACGCAAACGUUCCAGGUCAAGAACUCAUGAAAAAGCACGUGAGCAGGAUAGGGAACGGGAAAAAGAGAAAGAGAGGGAACGAGAGCGAGAACGUGAAAAAGAAAGGGAACGCGAACGCGAACGCGAACGGGAAAGGGAAAGGGAACGCGACAGAGAGCGUGACAGGGAUCGCGAUAGGGAAAGGGCCGAGAAACUAAGUACUAAAGAAUUGCUUCGAGAGAAAGAAGUCGAAGAAGAAAUGAAGGAGAAGAAAAAAUGUGAACGAAGAGCUAGAGAAAAGGAGGCUGCAUACCAAGAACGUCUAAGGGCCUGGGAAACAAGGGAAAGGCGCAAGUUUAAGGAAUACGAAAAAGAAAGAGAAAAGGAACGACUUAAAGAAGAGGAGCGCGAGCGGGAUGCGAAAAGGUUAAAGGAAUUUCUAGAGGAUUAUGAUGAUGAGCGUGAUGACGUUAAAUACUACAAGGGAAGAGAAUUACAGCGAAGAGUGGCAGAAAGAUUGAAAGAAGCUGAAUCAGACACAAAAGAUCGAUUAAAAGAAAAGGAAGAGAUGGAAGAACUGCGGAAAAGAAUAUUUUCUGAAGAACAUGAGGAUCCAAAUGAAGUAUUUGAAAAAGCAAAAAAGGAACGAGAGGAACAAUAUAAACCCAAAUUAUUAAUCGAUGUCAAUUUAGAACAUUGGAAACAAAAAGAGCGAGAAAAGGAAAGAGAAUUUGAAAGACAGAAAGCUAGAGAAAGAGAGCGACAUAGGGAAAUUGAACGAGAUAGAAGGCAUAAAGAAGAAAGGGAAAAAUAUAUUGUUGCACAGGCAGCUCAAGAACUUGCUGCUGUUGAGGCUGAACCUAUAGAUAGUGAUAGUGAUAUGGAUACCAACCAUUAUAGUCCAGUAGCUAUUGAACAGGAUGAGAUCAUGUCAAAUGAUGAGAAUAGUGAAUCAGCACAGUGGACUGAAGUCCAACCUCCUGAUGAGGAUUCCAAAGAGUCGUUUUCUUCAACGGCCGAGCAGCCUGUUCAAAAUUUAUCAGCUGGAACUGGGAUGAAAAUCACUUUAUCCAAGCCAAUAGCAUUUAAUAGCUCACAUUCUCCUACUCAACAGAAUAGACAUCAAGGUGACUCUAAGAGGAAGAAAAUAGAUCUACGAGAUGUCUUUAAUCCAGAUGAAGAUGAUACUUCUAUUCAGAUUAUAAUGAAGAUAAAAAAGAUAAGUCUCGGAAAGAGAAAGAAAAUAACGAGAAGAAAGCUGAAGAGUCGAAAUCUCAGGAAGAAAAACGGAAACACAUUAAGACUCUUAUUGAAAGGAUACCAACGGAAAAAGAGGCGUUGUUUACUUAUAAGUUAGAUUGGGCUCAAAUAGAUAAUCACCUAAUGGAAAAGAAGAUUCGACCAUGGAUAAACAAAAAGAUUAUUGAGUAUAUUGGUGAACCAGAGCCUACAUUAGUCGAUUUCAUUUGUAACAAAGUAUUAGCGGGUUCACUACCUCAAACGAUUCUAGAGGAUGUACAAAUGGUAUUGGAUGAGGAAGCAGAAGUAUUUGUUGUAAAAAUGUGGAGGUUAUUAAUUUAUGAAGUAGAAGCGAAAAAGUUAGGUUUAGUUAAAUAAUAUUCAUGUAAGAACUUGUAAAUAAUGAAAUGUUUUUUAGCA
rnacentral:misc_RNA from 1 species